AUUGAACGCUGGCGGCAGGCCUAACACAUGCAAGUCGAGCGGAGCGGCGGACGGGUGAGUAAUGCCUAGGAAUCUGCCUGGUAGUGGGGGAUCACGUCCGGGAACGGGCGAUAAUACCGCAUACUAUCAGAUGAGCCUAGGUCGGAUUAGAGAGUUGGUGGGGUAAAGGCAUACCAAGUAGACGAGCCGUAACUGGUAUGAGAGGAUGAUCAGUCACACGGGAACUGAGACAAGGUCCAGACUCCUACGGGAGGCAGACGUGGGGAAUAUUGUACAAUGGGCGAAAGCCUGAUCCAGCCAUGCCGCGUGUGUGAAGAAGGUCUUAGGAUUGUAAAGCACUUUAAGUUGUGAGGCGUUACCAACAGAAUAAGCACCGGCUAACUUCGUGCCAGCAGCCGCGGUAAUUC
rnacentral:rRNA from 1 species